GACGAACGCGGCGGCGUGCAUAAUACAUGCAAGUAGAACGCUGAAGAGAGGAGCUUGCUCUUCUUGGAUGAGUUGCGAACGGGUGAGUAACGCGUAGGUAACCUGCCUUGUAGCGGGGGAUAACUAUUGGAAACGAUAGCUAAUACCGCAUAACAAUGGAUGACACAUGUCAUUUAUUUGAAAGGGGCAAUUGCUCCACUACAAGAUGGACCUGCGUUGUAUUAGCUAGUAGGUGAGGUAACGGCUCACCUAGGCGACGAUACAUAGCCGACCUGAGAGGGUGAUCGGCCACACUGGGACUGAGACACGGCCCAGACUCCUACGGGAGGCAGCAGUAGGGAAUCUUCGGCAAUGGGGGCAACCCUGACCGAGCAACGCCGCGUGAGUGAAGAAGGUUUUCGGAUCGUAAAGCUCUGUUGUAAGUCAAGAACGAGUGUGAGAGUGGAAAGUUCACACUGUGACGGUAGCUUACCAGAAAGGGACGGCUAACUACGUGCCAGCAGCCGCGGUAAUACGUAGGUCCCGAGCGUUGUCCGGAUUUAUUGGGCGUAAAGCGAGCGCAGGCGGUUUGAUAAGUCUGAAGUUAAAGGCUGUGGCUCAACCAUAGUUCGCUUUGGAAACUGUCAAACUUGAGUGCAGAAGGGGAGAGUGGAAUUCCAUGUGUAGCGGUGAAAUGCGUAGAUAUAUGGAGGAACACCGGUGGCGAAAGCGGCUCUCUGGUCUGUAACUGACGCUGAGGCUCGAAAGCGUGGGGAGCGAACAGG
rnacentral:rRNA from 1 species